GACGUUCGAUUAAAAACGGCACGUCCUGUGCCAACAUCGAACUGACCUGCAUCCUGCAG
rnacentral:sRNA from 1 species